rnacentral:rRNA from 1 species
GACGAACCGUGCGAACGUUGUUCGGAAUCACUGGGCUUAAAGGGCGCGUAGGCGGUGUGUCGCGUCGGCCGUGAAAACCUGGGGCUCAACUCUGGGCGUGCGGUCGAUACGGGCAUCACUUGAGUUCGGCAGGGGAGACUGGAAUUCCUGGUGUAGCGGUGAAAUGCGCAGAUAUCAGGAGGAACACCGGUGGCGAAGGCGGGUCUCUGGGCCGAUACUGACGCUGAGGAGCGAAAGCAUGGGUAGCGAACAGG